rnacentral:rRNA from 1 species
GGGGAAUUUUGCACAAUGGGGGCAACCCUGAUGCAGCGACGCCGCGUGAUUUAGAAGGCCUUCGGGUUGUAAAAAUCUUUUGUAUAGGAAGAAAAUGACAGUACUAUACGAAUAAGGUCCGGCUAAUUACGUGCCAGCAGCCGCGGUAAUACGUAAGGACCGAGCGUUGUCCGGAAUCAUUGGGCGUAAAGGGUACGUAGGCGGUUAGAAAAGUUAGAAGUGAAAGGCUAUAGCUCAACUAUAGUAAGCUUUUAAAACUGUUUAACUUGAGAGAUGGAAGGGAAAGUGGAAUUCCUAGUGUAGCGGUGAAAUGCGCAGAUAUUAGGAGGAAUACCGGUGGCGAAGGCGACUUUCUGGCCAUUAUCUGACGCUGAGGUACGAAAGCGUGGGUAGCAAACAGGAUUAGAUACCCUGGUAGUCCACGCCGUAAACGAUGAGUGUUAGGUGUCUGGUUUAAACUGGGUGCCGCAGCUAACGCAAUAAACACUCCGCCUGGGGAGUACGCACGCAAGUGUG